UUAAGGUUAAAGGUUAAAAUAAAAUAGACUGAAACAAUAAAAUCACUCACCUGUCCCUUUCUGCCACAGCGAUCUUAAUGCAGCAGAGGCUUCCUGUCACAUCCUCCUUUGUUGGAUGCAUCCAGGACAUGGGGAUCAACGGUGAACUGGUGUCCUUCGAAAGGCCGUCAAGCGUGUUUGGUCCAGUCAACCUCAAGGAGUGUCCAGGCUGAACAUAAAGAUCUCCUCAAACCAUCAGUAAACAAACCCUGGGACCAUGUCCACCACCAGCUAUGUGCAAUCUGUUACUAUGACAGAGAAUGUGUUAGCAUGUAAGAGUGUGUGUGUAAGACGAUUGUGUUUCAGCGUGAGUGUGUUGGGAUGAAUGUACGUGAAAAAUAAAUAUAUGAGCAGCGGCUUACAGGUUCAUAAUGUUUGCUGUUAAGUUAAACAUGUCUAUAUUUAUUUAGUGUAAAGUUGCGUAUUGCCUCACCAAUUACAAAUGCAUUUUUUGACGGCUGCAAUAAACUCUACUUUGUUGGUCUAGUCAGUCUCUACUGACUAUCAAAUGCUACUGAAUAUGCUUGUAAGUGGUCAGUGCUGCGUUACAGUCAGCCCAGCACUUUCAGAAAACAAGUAUUGCCUUUGGUGCUGCGAAAGAGAUCAAGAUUAUUAACUGAUGUACUUUUGGUUUGCUUGUUGGACUCAAUAGCUUAUACUAAGAAAAAUGAUGUUUACACCCAUGAUUCUCAAUUCAGUGACAUUUCAGGGGUUGCUAAGCUAUUCUGUAUUCAUAUCCACAUGCCAGCAUGCAGAAUUCUGCAUUUUAACUGGCUUAAGAGACAUGGACUCUUUGCACAUGUUUUCAAACCACAUGUUUUUCGCCCCCAGUGUUGUAUUACUGUUCUGAUCUGAUUUUCCAGUUUGCAUUCCCUUUGCAUGAGAAUAUGGAUGUAUAUCUUACAGUAGUUACACCAGAUAACAGCAUGUACUAAAUUUUGUUUCUAUCAGUUAAAUAACCAAUAUACCUAGAUGCCAUUAGAAUAAGUUUGGUCAGUAGUGUUUGGGACCAUUGCAAAAGUAAUAACAGAAAAAGUAUGUUUAGGUACUUAUAUUCACAAAAAAGGUGUUUACUUUUCUAAAUUGUGCAUUUAUGCCAGACUUUAAAUAACAUUAUAUCUCAAUAUGAUGUAAAAUUCAUAUUAAAUUGGACACACUGUACAUGCAUUCCUGUCUUGUGGCAACUGAUUUGUAAGCCAUUAUGUAACCUGUCUGAUUAAUAUUCUUUAUGAAUACCUGUCAGUGCCAUAAAUAAAUAAUGGACUUUUGAUCAAGGAAA
ensembl:lncRNA